AGAGCUUUGAGGGGCUUGUGGAAGAGUCCCCCUUGCAGCACGGGACAGUGGGGGCAGCGGGGAUCGCCCCACACCAGCAGGAAUGUGAUCUCAGCUGAGAAUGAAAUGAACUCUACACCUGAAAUGAGUUUCCGAGGACUCUUGAGCUAACCUCCAGAGGGCAAAGUCAAACCCACUACUGGUCCAAUUGAUGUGGUUUGGCACAGCUGGCAGUGUAUGAUCACAAAAUGACAGAAAGGAAGUGAAGAUGGAGAUUGAAUUCACACCUCAUCACAUCCCAUAAAGGGCAAUUUUUCAAGGUUGGGAAAGACUAGCAUGGAGAAGCAGAGUGACCUCUCUGGAAUCACCCACUAGAGCCAGGAACAGAAUGGAGGGCUUCCAAGUUUCAAUUCAGUGCGUUAGCUGCCAGCAAUCACUGCCUCUGACAGGGUAGAAAGCACCAGAGGUAAGGGAGAGCCAGUAGGUAAGUUGGAGUAGCCCUGAACUGAAGACAUUAUUGGGAGA